UGGGGAAUCUUGCACAAUGGGCGAAAGCCUGAUGCAGCGACGCCGCGUGCGGGAUGAAGGCCUUCGGGUUGUAAACCGCUUUCAGCAGGGACGAGGCCGCAAGGUGACGGUACCUGCAGAAGAAGCCCCGACUAACUACGUGCCAGCAGCCGCGGUAAUACGUAGGGGGCAAGCGUUAUCCGGAUUCAUUGGGCGUAAAGCGCGCGUAGGCGGUCUGUUAGGUCAGGAGUUAAAUCUGGGGGCUCAACCCCUAUCCGCUCCUGAUACCGGCAGGCUUGAGUCUGGUAGGGGAAGAUGGAAGUCCAAGUGUAGCGGUGAAAUGCGCAGAUAUUUGGAAGAACACCGGUGGCGAAGGCGGUCUUCUGGGCCAUGACUGACGCUGAGGCGCGAAAGCUAGGGGAGCGAACAGG
rnacentral:rRNA from 1 species